UUGAAACAAAUAAACAAGACAUAAUACUUUUACUACAUAUAUAAUACAUAAAGUGACCAAUAUAUACAUUUGCAAACUUUGGAGAAAAAAUAUGGCUGAAAUUUUUAAAUUUGUUUAUUUAAUAAUCCUCUUUAUUUCCUUAUUUCUUGUCAUAAUUGACGUAACUGCAACAAGGACCUUGAUAAGUUGCAAGGAGAAUAUUGAUUGUUCCAAGUGGUUUUGUAUAUAUCCUUUGGUUCCAAAAUGCAUUUCUUUUAAAUGUAAGUGUGGAUUAUAAGUAAACUCGAUCGAUUGUAAAAGAUUCAUAUUGUAAUUUCAAUGGACGGAGUUAAAAAUUUUAUUUGAGAUAUUAUUCUCUUUAGUUGAUGUACUCUACCGUGGAAAAGAAUUUACUCAAAAAAACAAUAUGGAAGUAGUUGAAAUAAUAUUAUAUUUUAUUUAUA